CUCCUGUGGUAGGUUGCAUCCCAACUUGUGACAUCCAUGUAGGAGUAGGGGACACACAUCGUUCCUCCAUAGAGUUUUUUAAAAAUGGGCAGACUAGAUGAGCCGAAUGGUUCUUAUCUGCCGUCACAUUCUAUGUUUCUAACACUGUAUGUCUCCUUGCUGACAAUUGAAUAGGUGGGUUAGCGGGAAACACCAAUACGGUUCCCGUGAGGGAUGUAGGGUAUAGAAGGAAGGCCCUCCAAGAAUGUUCCCAGAGGAGUGGAGGUAGUCCAGUCAUCUUAUUCCAAGAUUGUUAACGACCAGAGAAAGCAAGUCGAUCGAGGACUCCGGUCUUCCCAAGCAAACCAUGCGUACGGCAUAGCUGCAGACCGGGCUGUGGGCUUUCCCUAGUCUUUUCACCCGAGCACGGCAGUGCACAUUUGCUGUACGAAGGCCUCAGGCUCUCAUGACACCUUGACAUGGUAAAGAACUGUCUGUGCAGUUCGUUUGCAAUGGUCUGCAUAACCUGAUCAGAGUGCGAUUGCUAGUCUAAUUAUAAUGACACCUGCAAUCUUGCAAUAGCUGAGGCUCAACCCUUAGCCAUACCACCUCCAGGAGUACAUCCAAAGGAAUGUUAUAGAGCACCAACAAAAAGGAGCAAUCCUGGUCAGCCAAACCGUCCCUAUACUGUCCCAUAAGGACUCCGGGACGUGUGCAAAGAAGCGGGAAAUCACUCCCAGUAAUACCUCUGUGAGUCUUUCUUGCGCGGGAUACAGUGGCCGGAUCCAGUAGGAUCGUAUAGGAGGUGAAAAUAGAGGAAUCCAGUCUAGACCUGUAUACCAUGCAUGAUCAGGUAAACCUCUACAGCAAAUUUGGUAGCACGGUCGUAGAUCUAGAGGAGGGGUUCUCUCCCCUUGCCCAGUUGUUAU